GUGUCCUUACAGGUCUUGUUGAGGGGAGUGAAGUCACUCAGACACCCACCAUACUCUGGGAACUGAAAGACAGUGAUGCUCUGAUGAACUGCAGUCACACUAAGGGAUCUAGCUACUUCCAGAUGUACUGGUACAGACAUCUUCCAGGAGAGGGAAUGAAGCAGGUAGUCUUCAUUACUCCCAGUUCUCAACCUGACUAUUCAGGGGAAUUCAGUAAAGACAAAUUCUCAGCCAGAAAGGCUGUAGCUGAGAGUGGAUCUUUCACAGUGAAGAAGUUGGAGACAGGAGACAGUGGAAUGUACUUCUGUGCUGAAACAUGCUACUACAACAGCCAAUCUCCUUUCACCUCAGAGCUUCACCCAGGAGACACUCAUAUCACAUCCUCAUCAUCAUCGUCUUCCUCAGCAUAUUCAUCAUCUUCAUCAUCAUCAUGAUAUUUUUCUUCAUCAUGAUGUUCAGAGUUCUGAUUCACCUGGCAGCUCUACCACUCUGGGUGACAGGGCAGUUGUUUAGUAGCAUGGUUCAUCAGAGGCCUGUGGCACUAACAGAAGGUCCUGGAGGAGACGUUCAACUCACCUGCAGCCAUACGAUCCCUAACUACUACGUGAUACUAUGGUACAAACAGUCAGCAGGAGACACUGCUAUGAAACUCAUUGGUUAUGCAUAUACCAAGUCAAUAACCAUGGAGAAAUCAUUUGAAAAGCACUUUAAUGUGAGUGGAGACGGUGGGAAAGAGGCUUAUCUUCAUCUAGUGAGUCUGAGAGGACCUGAACACAGUGCAGUUUAUUACUGUGCAGCCAGCCAACACAGUGAUGUAGACUUCCUCCUGCUCUCUACUAAAACCCUGUCUGAUGGUAAUAUUAGACCACGGCUCAGAACACCUGCAU
rnacentral:lncRNA from 1 species